rnacentral:rRNA from 1 species
GUAGGGCGCAAGCGUUGUCCGGAAUUAUUGGGCGUAAAGAGCUCGUAGGCGGUCUGUCGCGUCGGCUGUGAAAACCCGAGGCUCAACCUCGGGCCUGCAGUCGAUACGGGCAGACUAGAGUGCGGUAGGGGUGACUGGAAUUCCUGGGUGUAGCGGUGGAAUGCGCAGAUAUCAGGAGGAACACCGAUGGCGAAGGCAGGUCACUGGGCCGCAACUGACGCUGAGGAGCGAAAGCAUGGGGGAGCGAACAGG